rnacentral:rRNA from 1 species
AACGUAGGAGACAAACGUUAUCCGGAGUUACUGGGCGUAAAGGGCGUGUAGGCGGUCUGUUAAGUCUGGCGUGAAAGCUCUCGGCUAAACCGGGAGAGGUCGUUGGAUACUGGCAGAUUAGAGGACGGUAGAGGCGUGUGGAAUUCCGGGUGUAGUGGUGAAAUGCGUAGAGAUCCGGAGGAACACCAGUGGCGAAGGCGACACGCUGGGCCGUACCUGACGCUAAAGCGCGACAGCAUGGGGAGCAAACGGG